rnacentral:rRNA from 1 species
UGCCAGACUCCUACGGGAGGCAGCAGUGAGGAAUAUUGGUCAAUGGCCGAGAGGCUGAACCAGCCAAGUCGCGUGAGGGAAGAAUGUCCUAAGGAUUGUAAACCUCUUUUGUCGGGGAGCAAAAAGGCUCUGCGGAGUCGUAUUGAGAGUACCCGAAGAAAAAGCAUCGGCUAACUCCGUGCCAGCAGCCGCGGUAAUACGGAGGAUGCGAGCGUUAUCCGGAUUUAUUGGGUUUAAAGGGUGCGUAGGCGGGCUGUUAAGUCAGCGGUCAAAUGUCGGGGCUCAACCCCGGCCUGCCGUUGAAACUGGCGGCCUCGAGUGGGCGAGAAGUAUGCGGAAUGCGUGGUGUAGCGGUGAAAUGCAUAGAUAUCACGCAGAACUCCGAUUGCGAAGGCAGCAUACCGGCGCCCGACUGACGCUGAGGCACGAAAGCGUGGGUAUCGAACAGGAUUAGAUACCCCCGUAC